ensembl:lncRNA
ACAAAAGAAUGAGAAACAGGUGUGGGGGCCUCUGGGGCGUCAGCAUCAGAAACCUUUCUUGAUAGCCAGAAAAUUGCCAUUCGAGAGGGAAACUGGAAAUCAUCUUUGGGCCUGAACCUCUUUUUGUUCCUGCUUUCCUUGAGUGGCUGGGAUACUCUGCAGCACAGCCCUCAGGCUGACGAGUCCUCCUUCUGUGUCCACCCACUGUCCAGGGACAUAGAGAACUGCAGGGGAAUAAAGAACAUAGCUCCCAUCAGACAAUGAGAAAAAGUCUACAAAUCAUAACUUUUCUUGAAGCCAUCAGAGAACUAAGGUUACAGGCAACAAAAUGAACUGAAUUCCGAAGAGAGACCAGCCGCUAUGAGAAGAGAUAAGACACAGAAAUUAUUUCACCUUUGGCCAAGACUGGCUACAUAAUUUAUGGGACCCAGUGAAAACUGAAAAUGUGGGGACUUUUUGAGUAUGGGUGCUGUUGAAUGCACAGCUCAAACGCCUUCAGGUGGGUCCUGUCUUUGGCAGAGAACAUGAGGAAGAAGUGACCACCAUCAUUAUGGGCGAAAAGAAGGGAACUAAAAUUUGAUGCAUCCCUAAAGGUUGAAUAUGGGCUACCCCAUCCGUUUAGAAUGCCUGGGAGUCUCAGAUAUAUGAAGAGUUUGUACUCACAAGCCCUUUUCCAUGGGCCUCCACAAGAAAGACUGGGCAUAGUGCAGGAGACCAGAGAGUGCGACCCUUGAUGGGGCAGGCAUUCCAGACAAUGCAGGCAGCCUGGCCCUGGGGCAUAGACAAAAAACCCCACUCACUUCCAAAGACCCCUCCCUCAUCAAGUAAAAUCCUUCAGCAACUAGAGGAAGGAUAGCAAACAUUUUCAACCCCAGAGCCACUGGGGAAGUGUAGAAGCAGAAUCUGGCUGCAUUUGGGGACCAAGUAGGAAACUGUCCUUCCCACUCCUGGAAACAGGCAAAGAUCCACUGCUUCUGGGCUAGUUGUCAAAGCAAAAUCCAUCUUCUCCUGGGGGAGGCAGGGGUAGGAAAACCUCUUGGACUGAGGAUCCUGCACUAACAUACAGCAGAGGUCUCCUAAGUCUGGGGGAGGGGCUCUUUUAUUUCCAAACCUGCCACAGAUACAAGGCAGAGUUUGGCUGCCAUGGGGAUGGGGAAAGGGCAGAAACUCUGAGAAGGCCCCACCCCCAAGGCUCAGGUUCACAGGCUCUCCCUAAGACUGAGGCUGAGCCAAGAGAACCAAGAACGCCCUCAGUUCUCACCAUGAGCCUGACAUUGAUCCACAGAACAACAGCAGUCUAUAUGGGGGCAAAGGGCAAGAGCUUGGAGAGAGACCCCCUCUACAGAGCAAGUGUUCAAAGCUUAGGAAUACUAAGUCAGCAUUUUAACACCUCCAGCACCUCAGCUCCCACAUGCAGAACUAAGUAGCAGCCUACCACCGAAUGGAUCUAAAGCCUGGGAUGCACUGAGGAAACAAUAGCAACAAGACCUCAACUCAGAUCACUUCCAGCCAGACUGACUUUACUCCCCACCCUGUCUCCCCCCAGUAACGGCUUGACAGAAGAAGAGGUGUACCUAUUUCUGGGAGUAAGUUAUAUUUACUAUUCUUCUACACGUGAUCUUCAGCAUUCAACCAAAAAUUAGGAGACACACGAAAAGAAAAAAAAAGACCCCUUGUCAAGAGAUAACGCAAUUAACAGAACAAGACUCAGUUAAAGUCUAGAUGUUGGAACUAUCAGACAGAUACAUUAAAAUAAUUAAGAUAAUAUGUGCAAAGGUCUAGUGGAAAAUGUGGACAACAUAUAUAAACAUGAGGCUUUUAGCAAUGAGAUGGAAACUAUAAAAAAGAGUCAAAAGAAAAUGCUGGAAAUAAAACAAUAUCAGAGAUGAAGAACUCCUUUGACAGUAGACUGGACACAACUGAGGGUCAAAAAGUGAACCUGAAGAUAGGUCAAAUUAUCCAAAAUGAAACAUAAAGAGUGAAAAACAGAGUAUCGAAGAGUUGCAGGACAAUAUCACAAGUCUAGUAUGCAAAUGAAUGGAGAUCGAGGUAACAGACUGAGUGAGUGGUCUCUACUCUACUCGACCAGGUCUCCCUGGUCCCCAGAAAGCUAAAUGGGGAGCUGAUUUCUCCUUAACUGUGAGGCAGGGAGAGCAGGGGCCUUUGCCGUUGAAAACAACAGGGAUACAAAAUCUAUCUCAGUGCCCGAACCUGGUGCCUGGACAGGGGACUACAGCUUGCUCAGAGGGUACGUCACCAGCUUAUGGAAUAGAGACUGUGAGUCUGCUACCUAAGGAAUCUUAGCCAACGGGACCUGAGCCCUAGAGGUGACUAGAGCCAUGUGAACAAAGGAAACUAAUGCCCACAGGGAGACCCCGCAACCACACAGAAUGAAAAGUAGAACACUCAGAACAGGCGGCUCUGAGUGUAAUUACUGGAGGAUACAUGCAACAAUUUGAAUUACAAAAUUCAUAUUACUCUAUCAUUAGGCCUUUGCUAGGUGAGGCUGUGAUAACAACCAACCCCAGGAGUUGAACGGCUUACGAAAACAGAGGCUUACUUUUCAGUCAUGGUACAUCUCCUUCAUAAGUUGCCUUUGGCUCUGCCCCAUGCCUGUUUCAUUUUGGACUCAAGCUAAAGGAACAGCUCCCCAUCUGGAAUGUCCCAGUUUAUGGAAGAGGGAAAAAGAGAUGACAGACCACAUGAAGACUCUUAAAACUUCCUUUCAGAAGUGGCCUAUGUAUGUGGCUUUUACUGACAUCCAAUUAUUCGCUGCAGACAAGAGCAGCAAACAGUUGGGAACAGUGAGGCACCCUCCCCCUGAGCAUGUAAGAAGACUUAAGCAGUACGGCUUUAAAACUUUCUUUCUGAAAGUAAAAACAUGAUUUUCUAAUUAAAGUCUCCGUAGAUUAAUUCAAAGAAUGCAUGGGAAAAUGGAAAACUGAAUUAACAGCCUGGAAGAUCAAGUGGAAGGAAAUCUCAAGCCAUGGCAUGGAACUGUAGUUCCAAAGAGAUGAGGGAAAAUAAUAACUGUAUUACUGUCAAAACUUACAUAUAUUAGCAUACUUAAAUCUUACUAAAACCUAUGCAUUAGGUGCUAUUGUCCUCCAACCCAUAUUACAGCUGAAGAUACUGAGGCCUAGAAGGGUUGAGGAACUAUCCCCAGGUUACACAGCUGUGGCAGAGCUGGUGUGCCGUCCCGGGUUGUCUGGCUUCUGUGACUGUGCUGUUGUUAACCACGUUUUCUGCUUCUUAAUAGCCAUGCUAUUCUGCCACGAUAAAAGACCUGGAGGAUAGAUCCAGGAGAUACAACACGAGAAACAGGAAUUCAAGAUGGAAAAGGAAUUGUUGGAGGAGGUGUAGGAAUUAAAUAAAUGAAGGGGAAAAAGUGCCUCUGAGCUUAAGAAAGACCUGUAAUUUAAAAGGGCUCAUGACUUCCAGGCUGGAUUGAGAAAAAAGGCAGGCAUCUAGUAAUAUCCUAUAAAACUGCUCAACUCCCAGGAUAAAGAGAAAUUUCUAUAAGCUUCCAGACAAAGAGCACAUAACUUAUAAAGGAGAAUCAGACUGACAUCAGGCUUUUCAUCUGCAACACCGGAAGCUAGAAGACUGUGAAUAACACCUAAGGACACCUGAGGGGAAAGGACCUUGACCUAAGAAUGCUGCACGCGCGCGGCCUGCCAGGUCUCUUUCUAUCAGAGUGAAGGUCAUUUGUGGGUAUGAUACGGUUGAGAGGGUAUAUCCCCCACACACUCCCUUUGAGGAAUUUAUGCAAAAGAAGAGACUCCAUCCAAACAAUAAAUGAAUCAAAGCAAAAAUCUUAGGAUGGGGGAGAUGAAGAAGGGAGG